UCUCACAGCAUUCUGAGAAAAAAAAUCAUCAAGAACACUUUCUUCCAUCUUCAGUUUCCUUUUCAUUUUUCCUAUCUGUAGAGAUACAGUGGGUGACCGAGGUGAAGACAUCAUGAACAGAAUUCAUAGUUGGGCGUCGGAUGCUGCUUACUCCUUCAUAUAUGCAAAUGUAGCCUUUUCACUUUUGGCUCUCUUAUUCUUCUUUUAUCUCUUGUGUGGAUACCAACCCCCAAGACCAGAUAUGAUGAUUCGAAAGAUUGUCCAUGGGUUUUCGUUGAUCUCAUCAUGGUUACAGACGAAAAGGAUCAGGUGGUGAGACAGGAGGAAUGGGUGAUGAUGAUGAGUAUUGAACUUAAAUAUUAAUGAGGAGGUGGUGACUGUCUUUCUUAAUUUCGGUGUUAUUUUCUUAUCAAGUUAAAUACGUACUAUCAUAUCUAGGAGUCAAGGAUUUAAUUUGGUUUAGUAUUAUCAUCAUGAACUCAGAUUAUUGUAAUAAGAAGGAUUUGCAUAUUUACGUGA